CCUACGGGUCGCAGCAGUGGGGAAUAUUGGACAAUGGGCGAAAGCCUGAUCCAGCCAUGCCGCGUGUGUGAAGAAGGCCUUCGGGUUGUAAAGCACUUUCAGUGGGGAAGAAAGCCUUGGGGCUAAUACCCUCGAGGAAGGACAUCACCCACAGAAGAAGCACCGGCUAACUCCGUGCCAGCAGCCGCGGUAAUACGGAGGGUGCGAGCGUUAAUCGGAAUUACUGGGCGUAAAGCGCGCGUAGGCGGUCUGAUAAGCCGGUUGUGAAAGCCCCGGGCUCAACCUGGGAACGGCAUCCGGAACUGUCAGGCUAGAGUGCAGGAGAGGAAGGUAGAAUUCCCGGUGUAGCGGUGAAAUGCGUAGAGAUCGGGAGGAAUACCAGUGGCGAAGGCGGCCUUCUGGACUGACACUGACGCUGAGGUGCGAAAGCGUGGGUAGCAAACAGGAUUAGAUACCCUGGUAGUC
rnacentral:rRNA from 1 species